rnacentral:lncRNA from 1 species
UACAGUGCAUGUAGUGCCCAAAACAGCAAACCUUUUUUCUGCGUGGAUCUCAUGUCGGAACGGAAGAUAUGUUAUAAAUAUAAAUAUCAUUGGCUGAAUAUAGAUAAAAUUCUCACAUAUACAUUAUGUUUAUUUGUUGUAGAUACAAUGUUAAGCAAAAAAAAAAAAAAUGUUACGUUUAAGCGUACGUAGUAUACUAUCUCUCUCGUCCGGGAGCUCCAGAUCGAGGAGCCUUGUUAAUUCGGAGAUAGAUAAGGAUCUUGAUCGUAUGAUCACUUACCCCUUUUUUGACUCUCUCAAAGUAUCAACUGUUGCGUUUACUUUCAUCUCCCUUUUGUAAUCAGACCUUAGAGAUCCUAUAAAUUUUGGAAUAUGUUUACCAGUUAAAUUUUAAACAAACAAGAGAGAGCUACAAAUCAAACAUUAUAUAAAAGGAAAUUAUUGUAAAAGGACAUUAUUAUUUUUAAACCAAACAAAAAAAAAAAGAAAAUUAUUUAUUUAGAUUUUCAGUAUCUAUUCUUUUCGGGAGAUAAGAAAAAUAUACAUUAGAAAUUUAGAUGUGUCUUGAGACUUGAAUCUCGAACACGUUUGGUUGAACGUAACUAAAACACACUAAGAAAAUAAUGUGACUUGCUUAAUUAAUAUAUUACCGAAUGGUCUAUCGUUACUAAAACCGUAAAAUGAAAUCUUAAGCGUG